GCCGAAGCGUUACAAUAACUCACGCAACUCAUUUUACUCAUCAUCUAGUUCACAUGGUUUGGCACAUUCUUCAUCAACAACUGAAUCAUUUGACGUCAUCAACUCCGCGAUCUGCGUUGACAUCGGUGUAUUGACAGUUGAUUUCGCUGCUAAAGAAUGAAAGUGAUACUGUGUACCAACUCAAGUCGCCAUUUGGUUUUCGUAUGUGUUUUACAGGCAGAUGCGGCUAGCUGCUUAAACUUUGUUUGUUUAGUGAGAAGGGACCCAGUAAGCUUGAACUAUUUUUGCUGACAUGGUGAAAAAGCAGUGAAAUGCUCCCAUAAACGAGUUUGAGAUCUCCCAUGAUAGUUCUUCCAAAACUUGGCAUGUUCAAGGAUUAGGCCUGCAACGUUUCGUCCAAAUGACUAACUGGAGGUAUGGAUCUCUCUGUUCUCUGAUCCUGUCUUCUUUUACAUUCUUGUGUAUUGCCUUUUAUCAAGUGUCUUUUCCUUGUAUUUCUCUUUGGGUUAGCAUUCCUAUGG